rnacentral:rRNA from 1 species
UUGCCCUAGUAACGGCGAGUGAAGCGGCAACAGCUCAAAUUUGAAAUCUGGCCCCCGGGUCCGAGUUGUAAUUUGUAGAGGAUGCUUUUGGUGCGGUACCUUCCGAGUUCCCUGGAACGGGACGCCAUAGAGGGUGAGAGCCCCGUCUGGUUGGACGCCAAUCCUUUGUAAAGCUCCUUCGACGAGUCGAGUAGUUUGGGAAUGCUGCUCUAAAUGGGAGGUAUAUGUCUUCUAAAGCUAAAUAUUGGCCAGAGACCGAUAGCGCACAAGUAGAGUGAUCGAAAGAUGAAAAGCACUUUGAAAAGAGAGUUAAAAAGUACGUGAAAUUGUUGAAAGGGAAGCGCUCAUGACCAGACUUGGGCCCGGUUGAUCAUCCAGGGUUCUCCCUGGUGCACUCUUCCGGCCCAGGCCAGCAUCAGUUCGCUGUGGGGGAUAAAGGCUUCGGGAAUGUGGCUCCUCCGGGAGUGUUAUAGCCCGCUGCGUAAUACCCUGUGGCGGACUGAGGUUCGCGCAUCUGCAAGGAUGCUGGCGUAAUGGUCAUCAGCGACCCGUCUUGAAACACGGACCAAGGAGUCGUCUUCGUAUGCGAGUGUUCGGGUGUUAAACCCCUACGCGGAAUGAAAGUGAACGCAGGUGAGAGCUUCGGCGCAUCAUCGACCGAUCCUGAUGUUCUCGGAUGGAUUUGAGUAAGAGCAUACGGGGCCGGACCCGAAAGAAGGUGAACUAUGCCUGUAUAGGGUGAAGCCAGAGGAAACUCUGGUGGAGGCUCGCAGCGGUUCUGACGUGCAAAUCGAUCGUCAAAUAUGGGCAUGGGGGCGAAAGACUAAUCGAACCUUCUAGUAGCUGGGCGUGCGCCGAAG